AUUGAACGCUGGCGGAAUGCUUUACACAUGCAAGUCGAACGGCAGCACGGGGGCAACCCUGGUGGCGAGUGGCGAACGGGUGAGUAAUGUAUCGGAACGUACCCAGUCGUGGGGGAUAACUAUCCGAAAGGAUAGCUAAUACCGCAUACGUCCUGAGGGAGAAAGCGGGGGAUCGCAAGACCUCGCGCGAUUGGAGCGGCCGAUAUCGGAUUAGCUAGUUGGUGAGGUAAAGGCUCACCAAGGCGACGAUCCGUAGCGGGUCUGAGAGGACGACCCGCCACACUGGAACUGAGACACGGUCCAGACUCCUACGGGAGGCAGCAGUGGGGAAUUUUGGACAAUGGGGGAAACCCUGAUCCAGCCAUUCCGCGUGAGUGAAGAAGGCCUUCGGGUUGUAAAGCUCUUUCAGCAGGAACGAAACGGUCGGCUUUAAUAAAGUCGGCUAAUGACGGUACCGC
rnacentral:rRNA from 1 species